UCUCCCAGCCCUAUUGGUAGAGCAUGAGACUCAUGAUCUCCAGGUCGUGGGUUUGAGCCCCAUGUUGGAUGAA